rnacentral:lncRNA from 1 species
UGCAGCUGCAGCCGUGGUGUUGCAUGGGGGCCUCGGGACUCCACGGGCUACUGCGGUGUCUGCUUCAGGAGUCAGAAGAGGGCUUCCCGAGGGCUCUGUCAGAUAAUCUAGGCUGAGAGGUUGUGUCCCACAAAAGGUGGCUCAACUGGCCCGGGAGUUACUUCCUCAGACAAAGGCUCUGAACAGAGCCAGGAUGGAAUCAGGCAGACCCCUGACUGAUGGGGACAGGGAACCGCUCCUUGGACAUUUGAUUUUGUGUGUCAUCCUGCUGGUUCCAAAACCUGCUCCUGCAAAAGUGUCUUCAGAGCCUUGCUUGCAGUUCUUUAAAGCCUCCCCAGUGCUGGGGGUGUUAGAUGUGUACCACAGUGCCUCUGUGAUUCAUGGAGAACUUUACAGUGGAGGAAUCAUGAUGCCACCACCUGAGUCCACUGAUGAAGCUUAGCAUCUAUAAAUGUGACAGAGCCGGGCACAGACACCCUUUGCCUGCUGUCAUUGAUGCAGUCUGAAGCAUCCAACACUGCCUAGAAAAGAUGCUGGCCAAAGAAGCAAACAAGCCUCUCAACAUGAAUUAAAUCAAACCCUCAGGGCUGUUUUGUGUGUGCGUGUUCUUGAGUGUGGCACGUGCACAUCCUGUGUGUGUGUGUGCAGGCAUUCCUGGAGAGCAAUCCUCAGAGCAUUGUCCACCUUGAUUUUUAGAUUUAUUUAUUUAUUAUAUGUAAGUACACUGUCGCUGUCUUCAGACACAUCAAAAGAGGGCAUCGGAUCCCCUUACAGAUGGUUGUGAGAUCUGUGGGAUUUGAACUCAGGACCUCCGGAAGAGCAGUUAGUGUUCUUAACCACUGAGCCAUCUCGCCAGCCCGGUUUUUACCUUUUUAUUUAUUUGUUUAUUUAUUUAUAACAUAAUCUCUCACUAGGUCCUGUCUCUGCAUCUUCGGCUCUGAAAUUACACUCUUGCCACUAUCAAUGCCCACAGUUUUAAUCCGGGUUCUGAGGAUUAAACUCAUAUCCUGUUUGUAUGCCAAACAAGUGCUUUACUUCCUCAAGUAACUCCUCAGUCCCUUAUUUGAUGAGAGAUGCAGGAGAUGGAGAAGCAUAAAUGACACGAGGAAGCAAGUCGACUCCGGUAAACUGUGGGCGAUGUUCAAGAGAAUCUGACCCAGUUACCUAAAUAAGUCAUUGGCUGUGGGGGAAAAGAGAAGGAGCUCAAAGCACAGAUACAGAGCUGAGAAUAUGCUUCAGUGACAGAGCCCAUAUGUAGGGCCAUAAAGCCCCCUACACAUAGGGUGUGAGGGUGUGGACAACCACAUGGAAUGUAUGGAUCUCUUUCGUUCAAGACUUGGGGAUGGGAACCAUAAAGAUGUCUUAGAAGUCGAGAACAUUUAACUGUAGACUGGGUUGUAGUUUUUCUUUAUGAGACAGGAUCUGAUUAUACAGUCCUGGAUGGUCUGGAACUUGCUAUAUGGAUCUAGCUGGUCUUGGAUCACUCACAGUGAUCCACCUGCCUCUGCCUUUCUAGUGCUAGGGUUAAAUGUGUCAUCAUUCCCAGUUUGUGUCCUAUAGUUUUAAAUUUUACUCUGGGGUUGUUAGUGAACUAGCUUACUUGGUUUAAAAUGUCUCAGUGCAGAGGGCAGAAGUGGGAGCGGCAGACUGUAUCAUUGUUGGAUUAAAUGUGAACGGGAUCGUGAACAUUUUA